AUAAGGAUAAUGGUGACUUGGUA
rnacentral:siRNA from 1 species